UUUUUUUUUUUUUUUUUUUUUAAUUCAGAACAGUUUGUUCAUUCUUUCUUUCCUUCCUUUAUUCCUUCUUCCUUCAUUUUUCUUUCUUUCUUAGUUUUUAAUUCUAGUAUAGUUAACAGUGUUAUAUUAGUUUCAAGUUCACAAUAUGUUUUUUCAAAAAUUCCACACAUCACCCUGUGCUCAUCAUAUAAGUGCUCCUUAACCCCUAUCACCUAUUUAAGCCAUCCUCCCACCAACCUCCCCUCUGGUAACUUAUAAUUUUGACAACAUGAAUGAACCUAGAGCAUAUUUUGCUAAGUGAAAUAAGUUAGAGAAAGACAAAUAUUGUAUUAUUUCACUUAUAUGUAGAAUCUAAAAAAUAAAGCAAAGUAAAAUAGAAACUGACUCAUAGAUACAGGAAAUAAGGAAAUAAACUAUGGGUUACCAGAGGAGGGAAGAAGUUGGGGGUUAGGUAAAGAACAUGAGGAGCAUUAAGAGGUACAAACUUUGAGUGAUAAAAUAAAUGAAUCACGGGCAUAUAAUAUACAGCACAAGAAACAGAGUCAAUAAUAUAUGAAUAACUUCAUAUGGUGACAGAUUAUAACUAGACUUAUCAUGGGGUCUUUUCACAACAUAAAAAUAUCAAACCACUAUAAUAUAUACUUGAAACUAAGAGGAUAUUGUAUGUCAAUUAUACUUCAAAAAGAGAAAGAACAAACUUUUUUCCCCAUUAUGUGGCCGUAUACACAAUGAGUUUUGUUAGUCAAUACAUUUUUAAAUUUAGGCUCAAAUCAAAAUCAUUUUUAUUGUAUUUAUUAGUAUGUAACCUUUUGGUAAUAAAAAUAAGGCUACCCAUCCUGAUUUAUUUUUUGAGAAAUGCAUAUUUACACAGAUAUCUUCUCAAAACCUGAGAAGUCAAACAUUUCCUAAAGCACAAUUUGGUAUUAGAUCAUGAUGGUGCCAUACAUUCCUUACAAUUUACCUUAGGGUCAUUUUAUCAUAACAUCCCACUUCCCUAUGUUUAUGUAGGUUUAAGGAAAGAAUAAUAAUUAAUUAUGUAAAAAUAGUUAAAAGUUUUUGAAAUAUCUUGUUCUGGUACUAUUUAAAAUAUCUUUUAAGUUCUAAUGCCUUCUGGAAAACUCAGGCAUAUUUCUAAGAAGUUAAAA
rnacentral:lncRNA from 1 species